rnacentral:rRNA from 1 species
GACGGAGGAUGCAAGUGUUAUCCGGAAUUACUGGGCGUAAAGCGUGCGCAGGCGGUUUGUUAAGUCUGUUGUGAAAUCCCCGAGCUCAACUUGGGAAUUGCAAUGGAUACUGGCAGGCUGGAGUAUGGUAGAGGAAGGUGGAAUUCCCGGUGUAGCAGUGAAAUGCGUAGAGAUCGGGAGGAACACCAGUGGCGAAGGCGGCCUUCUGGACCAAUACUGACGCUCAUGCACGAAAGCGUGGGGAGCAAACAGG